rnacentral:pre_miRNA from 1 species
GCCCCCUCCCUUGGUCGCCGGCUGUUGGUCCUUUUGUCAGUCUGCGUCUGGGGAGGGGGCCA